AACGAACGCUGGCGGCGUGGCUAAGACAUGCAAGUCGAACGAACUAUCCAAUUGGGUAACUGACUGGAUAGUUAGUGGCGAAAGGGUGAGUAAUGGAUAGGUAACGUACCCUGUGCUCCCGGAUAGCGUCAUCCGCCUUCGGGCGAAUUUCCGAAAGGGGCGGUAAUACAGGAUAAUGUCAUCCGUCGACAGACGAAUGACCAAAGAUUAUUUCGGCACUGGAGCGGCCUAUCUCCUAUCAGCUUGUUGGUGAGGUAAUGGCUCACCAAGGCAGCGACGGGUAGCGGGGCUGAGAGGUCGGCCCGCCACAUCGGGACUGAGACACUGCCCGGACCUCCACGGAGGGCUGCAGUAACGAAUAUUGGGCAAUGGCGAAAGCCUGACCCAGCGACGCCGCGUGCAGGAUGAAGUCUUUCGGGAUGUAAACCGCUGUCAGGGGUAAGAAAGUCCGCUUCGGCGGAUUGAUCUAACCCAAAGGAAGUCACGGCUAACUUCGUGCCAGCAGCCGCGGUAAGACGAAGGUGGCAAGCGUUGUUCGGAAUCACUGGGCUUAAAGAGCGCGUAGGCGGAACAGUAAGCGUCCUGUGAAAUCCCCCGGCUUAACCGGGGAACGGCUGGGCGAACUGCUGUUCUUGAGGCAAGCAGGGGUGCGUGGAACUCUUGGUGGAGCGGUGAAAUGCGUAGAUAUCAAGAGGAACGCCGGCGGAGAAAUCGGCGCACUGGGCUUGUUUCCGGUCAGAAGCGCUUCGGCGUUUUUGGCCCUCUGACGCUGAGGCGCGAAAGCGUGGGGAGCGAACGGGAUUAGAUACCCCGGUAGUCCACGCCGUAAACGAUGCCUACUAGGUUGCGGGAGCUUCUGACGUUCUCGCGGCCGAAGCAAAAGUGUUAAGUAGGCCGCCUGGGGAGUACGGUCGCAAGGCUAAAACUCAAAGGAAUUGACGGGGGCUCACACAAGCGGUGGAGCAUGUGGAUUAAUUCGAAGCAACGCGCAGAACCUUACCUGGGUUUGACAUGACUGGAUGCCUGCCCGGAAACGGACCAGGCUGCCCUUCGGGGUGAAACUGGCACAGGUGCUGCAUGGCUGUCGUCAGCUCGUGUCGUGAGAUGUCGGGUUAAGUCCCUUAACGAGCGAAACCCUUGCCGUUAGUUGCCAGCGGGUUAUGCCGGGAACUCUAACGGGACUGCCGGUGUUAAACCGGAGGAAGGUGGGGAUGACGUCAAGUCCUCAUGGCCUUUAUGCCCAGGGCUUCACACGUGCUACAAUGGCGACUACAAAGCGACGCAAAACCGAGAGGCCGAGCAAAUCGCAAAAAAGUCGCCCCAGUUCGGAUUGCAGGCUGGCAACUCGCCUGCAUGAAGUCGGAAUCGCUAGUAAUCGCGUAUCAGCGAUGACGCGGUGAAUGUGUUCCUGAGCCUUGUACACACCGCCCGUCAAGUGAUGGGAGCCGGGAGUACUCGAAGUCGGGUUGCUAACCCGCCUCGUGUGGGAAGCGCCUGCCGACGGUAAGCUCGGUGACUGGCACU
rnacentral:rRNA from 1 species